UCAGGUGGCCGCAGAGAAUAGGCCCAAGCGACUGUUUACCAAAAACAUAGGUUUCUGCUAAGUCGCAAGACGAUGUAUAGGAGCUGACGCCUGCCCGGUGCUGGAAGGUUAAGGGGAUCUGUUAGAGCAAUCGAAGCAGUGAACUUAAGCCCCAGUAAACGGCGGCCGUAACUAUAACGGUCCUAAGGUAGCGAAAUUCCUUGUCGGGUAAGUUCCGACCCGCACGAAAGGCGUAACGAUUUGGGCACUGUCUCAACAACAGACUCGGUGAAAUUGUAAUUCCGGUGAAGAUGCCGGAUACCUGCGACAGGACGGAAAGACCCCAUGGAGCUUUACUGUAGCUUGACAUUGGGUCUUGGUACUACAUGUACAGGAUAGGUGGGAGGCUUUGAAACCAGGACGCCAGUUUUGGCGGAGCCAUCCUUGGGAUACCACCCUUGUAGUACUGG
rnacentral:rRNA from 1 species